rnacentral:rRNA from 1 species
AACAACCUGGCGGCGUGCUUAACACAUGCAAGUCGAGUGCGCGUGCCGUAGCAAUACGGUAUGGCGCACGGCGCACGGGUGCGUAACACGUGGGCAAUCUGCCCUCCGGUGGGGAAUAACCCCGCGAAAGCGGGGCUAAUUCCGCAUAACAUUCCCUGGACUUCGGUUCGGGGAUUCAAAGCAGCAAUGCGCCGGAGGAGGAGCCCGCGCCCGAUUAGCUAGUUGGUGAGGUAACGGCUCACCAAGGCAAUGAUCGGUAGCUGGUCUGAGAGGAUGGCCAGCCACACUGGAACUGAGACACGGUCCAGACUCCUACGGGAGGCAGCAGUGGGGAAUCUUGCGCAAUGGGCGAAAGCCUGACGCAGCGACGCCGCGUGGGGGAUGAAGCUUUUCGGAGUGUAAACCCCUUUCGACCGGGACGAAUGCCCGCAAGGGAGUGACGGUACCGGUAGAAGAAGCCCCGGCUAACUACGUGCCAGC